UGCUGUGGAGGCUUUGUUCUUUCGCUCUUCACGAUAAAUCUUGCUGCUGCUCACUCUUUGGGUCUGUGCCGCCUUUAAGAGCUGUAACACUCACCGUGAAGGUCUGUGGCUUCAUUCUUGAAGUCAGCGAGACCACGAACCCACUGGAAGGAACCAACUCCAGACACACUCUAUCAAGUGCCUGAAACAGGGCCAUGGCAAGUUAAAAGUUUAAGCUUCUGCUUUAAUCCCUGCCUGGAAGAGCUCAUCCAUGACCAGGUGGAACUGAGCAUGAAACCAAAGGAACCCAAGACUCCAGCCUUCACUGUGGGCUGAAGCGCAACAUUUACUUGAUAUUAAACAAAAAAAUUUGGGUGGAAUAGAAACAGAUGGAGUCUCUCUCUUGUUGUCCAGGCUGGAAUGCAAUGGUGCGAUCUCAGCUACCGCAACUGCCGCCUCCCGUGUUCAAGUGAUUCUCCUGCCUCAGCCUCCCGAGUAGCUGGGAUUACAGGUAUGCACCACCGCAUCUGGCUAAUUUUGUAUUUUCAGUAGAGACAGGGUUUCUCCAUGUUGGUCAGACUGGUCUCAAACUCCCAACUUGAGGUGAUCUGCCCGCCUCGGCCUCCCAAAGUUUUGGGAUUAUAGGCAUGAGUCACCGCGCCCGGCCUAUUCUUUUUUAUUUUGUUUUGCACAGCACUGAAAAUGUGGAUGAAUGAUAAAAGCUUUUCUUGUACCCUUCCUUAUUAUUUUUAGUCCUGAUAAGGAGUGAUCCUAACAGGAUUAGGAAAUUCAAGACACCCCUGUUUAUGACCUGAUUAGGAGCAUAGUUCAGUCUUCAGUAUUUUCAACUCCAUGUCAUACCGUAAUAAUUAAGGUCACUUGCGUUCCGAUGAUUAUCAACCCCAAGAAGACCUCCCUGAGAACCUAAGGUACCAUUUAACUUUUGGGAGGAGUGUGCUCGUCGGAGUGUUUCUCUUGGCCCAUUUCCCAGCCCACAUGGCCUUUCCUAGGAAUAGCAUCCCUGAUGUGCUCUGUAGGCAAUUUCUGAAAUGCCUAUGAAUAUGUGCAUUUUGUCAAAGAGCCUAAAUAAAUAAAAAUAGCUUUGUAUAGCAAAAAACAUGCAUUGUCUCAAUCCUUUUAUUUAUUGGAUGAGAAUGAGCACAUCAAACACCACUUAACUCUCUAAAACACUGGCUCAAUUGCAAUUACCGUUCCUCUUUUUUUAUCUAGGUUGUAUUUUGUGCCACUCAUAUUCUGUAUUUGAAAGAUAUCUGUAGUUUCCCUAAGCAGGUUAUUAGGUUUUCAAUGAUGAGAUAAGGCAGUUUGGAUUUUUAAAAAGCAAAGAGCCUCUUCAGGAAAGACUCUCUCAUCCCUUUCCUAUGAAGGUAACCAUUUGUUGGAAACAGUAAGCCAGGUGCAUCAACAACAACACCAUUAUCACGGCAGCAUAACUAAACCUUAGAGAAUUUGUUCAGAAAAGCUUCCGAAAUGUAGAUCGUUUAAAGCCAAUAAUUUAAACCUCUGACACACUGUCUCACUGGCCUCAACAUGCAGGGUCAUCUGAUUACACCUACUCAUAAAUGGCCAAAUUAAUCUCAAUCUCUUUAAAAGUUAUUAUGCCUGCAGAACUCAAGAAUGCAUGGUUAGUUUAGUGUCACUUUUGGAAGGUUCUAUUUCUCUGGUAGUAACUGAUAAAGAAGGAGUUUUCUCAAAGUCAGUCACUCAAAAUAAAGAACUUAAAUCCAUGUUAACAUACCUCUGGGAAGCAGAUCUACAUUAACCUAGUCUAUGACUUCUCUGACAAUAAUAAGGUUUAAGAGAGUGCUCAGCCACUGGUGAUUUCUGCAAGUGAUACAAUGAGGGGACAGAGAUAAUAAGGCAAGAAUAAAAUGGGACCUGGGAUUAAGGGAUCUUCCACUCAGCCAUGUGCAGAAAGUUGAAAAUUAAUGCGGCAUUGUUUAGCAAGCAGCUGUCAAGUUACUGUAAUUUGCAAAAUGUUUUUUUUAAGUCGUCGCCUUCACUGAAGGCAUAUUAGAAAUGGCUUCAUUUCUGAGGGAUGACAAAAUUAAUCCUAUUUUGAGUUUCAUUUGAAGAAAAUGACACUUUAAGCUUGUUUUGCAUUUGUCAAAUAAGCCAAUGAGUUCAACAUUUACUGAGUACCUCUGAAUAGAAGACACAGUAUUAGAUAUUAGAGUUCUAAAGAUGAAUUAAGAACAAUAACUUUCAUCAAGAUAUGUAAUAUUUGUUGGGAGUUACAGACAGAGCAGAACAUUGUAAUUCUCUGUGCCUGUAAAUAUAAGAGUUGAGAUAAGCAAAGGGUGGUAGGGGAGGAUGUAGGUGAAUCUAAUGGGUGGCCUCAAAGUUAUAGGGCAAAGGCCUGAGGACAGAGGUAAGACAAACCCAGAGGAACUGGCACGGUGCUAAGAGAUGGGUCUUUUGAGAUUAGCCUGGAGAGAUGGGUCUUUCAGGGCCUUUAUUUAAAGUAUUCAGUGGCAGUCCAUGUCUGUAUAGAAACAUCUCACUGUAUUGUAAUAAUACAGUAACGUAUAUUAAGUACAACUUAAUUACAUGUGCAUGAGCAAGAGUACUGUGUUUUCAUCUUCCAGCAUUUAGCAGUGUGUAAUAUCUUGCAUUCACAAAUUAAAUAUUUGAAUAAAUGAACCAAAAAACCACAAAAUAGUCAUGCCUAAAUAAAGCUUAACAGAACAGUAUUAGUACCACAAUUUCCAAGCUCAAAAGGAGCAUGAGCUCAGGGCUAUUAUCAUGAUACAAAAUAGCAAUCCAGAAGUUAGGACAAUAACAACCAGUUCAGGGAAUAGGAAUCUAAGAUGUGCAAGGAGAAACUGUCUAGGAUAUUGUCCAUAAACAGUGUUGGAAUGCCUAAAAAUAAGUCAUAAGUGGUGAUUUGUGAUGGUGUACAGGCAGUUGGUAAGCUUAACAGUGUAGAAGUUGCUCAGAUGGGAUG